UUGCUGGCGAAAAAAAGCGCGCAUAAAACCUUUCGUUCCGCUGGCCGGACCCCCUCCUCCCCCUCUGACCCGGCUGGACCUUUCCUUCUGGGGAACCUCAUGGCCUUCUCUGGUUGUGGGGGGAACCAGGACUUUUACUGUGAAAAAAUUAAAGUGUUCAAGCAAGCCUUUGCUCCAAUACAUUAGCAUGGAAUAAUAGAAUAGGACGUGUGGUUCUAUUUUGUUGGUUUCUAGGACCGCCGUCCUGAUUAAUAAGGAUAGUCGGGGGCGUCAGUAUUCCUCUGUCAGAGGUGAAAUUCUUGGAUUUGCUGAAGACUAACUACUGCGAAAGCAUUCCCCAAGGAUGUUUUCAUUAUUCAGGGAACGAACGUCAGGGGAUCGAAGACGAUCAUAUACCGUCUUACUCUUAACCAUAAACUAUGCCCACUAGGGGUCGGACGGGAUUCUAUGAUGACCCGUUCGGCACCUUACGAGAAAUCAAAGUUUUUGGGUUCUGGGGGGAGUAUGGUCGCAUCGCUGAAACUUAAAUAAAUUCACGGAACGACCCCACCCCGCGUGGAGCCUGCGGCUUAUUUUGACUCUUCACGGGGAAACUCACCAGGUCCAGACAAAAUAAAGAGUGACAGAUAGAGAGCUCUCUCUUGAUCUUUUUGUAUGGUGGUGCAUGGCCGUUCUUAGUUGGUGGAGUGAUUUGUCUGCUAUAUUGCGAUAACGAACGAGACCUCGGCACUCAAUACCCUCGUCCUCAUUUGCUGUGCUGCUCGCUUCUACGUGGACUAUCUGACUCAAGCUGAUGUAGUGCGCAGCAAUAACUGUCUGUGAUGCCUCGAUUGUUCUGGGCUGCACGCCAGCUCCACUGAC
rnacentral:rRNA from 1 species